GACGAACGCUGGCGGCGUGCUUAACACAUGCAAGUCGAACGGAAAGGCCCUGCUUUUGUGGGGUGCUCGAGUGGCGAACGGGUGAGUAACACGUGAGUAACCUGCCCUUGACUUUGGGAUAACUUCAGGAAACUGGGGCUAAUACCGGAUAGGAGCUCCUGCUGCAUGGUGGGGGUUGGAAAGUUUCGGCGGUUGGGGAUGGACUCGCGGCUUAUCAGCUAGUUGGUGGGGUAGUGGCUUACCAAGGCUUUGACGGGUAGCCGGCCUGAGAGGGUGACCGGCGACAUUGGGACUGAGAGACGGCCCAGACUGCUACGGGAGGCAGCAGUGGAGAGUAUUGCACAAUGGGGGGAAGCCUGAUGCAGCAACGCCGCGUGCGGGAUGACGGCCUUCGGGUUGUAAACCGAUUUCGCCUGAGACAAAGCGUGAGUGACGGUAAUGGGUAAAGAAGCACCGGCUAACUACGUG
rnacentral:rRNA from 1 species